rnacentral:lncRNA from 1 species
UGUUGCCCAAGGUGACAAUCCAAGAGGGGGGGGUGAAUUGGUUUCUUCUAAAUUUUAGUGUUUUUAAAAACUUUCGUAAUUAAGUGCGGUGGAUGCUUUCUUAGGUUAUUUGAGUGAGUUAAAUUAAUACAAGAAUAGAAGAUAAAGCAAGGGAAAAUGAAAGCACAAACACAAUGCAAACACACCAAUAUAUAGUGGUUCGGUGCUCUCCUUAGCACCUACGUCCACUCCCCAAGCGUACCCUUGGGAAUUCACUAUAAUCUCACGGAUUACAGUUGGAUUGUUUUUCGGGCUCACAAUACN